AGACACGAAGAAGAAAUAACAAUUCAAUUUCUCUCAUCGGCAGUACUAGAGAAAAGAAUUCUCCGUCCUCCAGUCGCGAUAUAUUUAACGGCCUCACCGACCAACACCUCCUACAACGCUGCCUCUGUUUUUGUCUUUUAUGCAAGAGUUGACAUCGCUGAGACAAUCUACAGCAGCACCUAGGCUUCUUGGGUCAAAGGGUCUCAGAGGAAGGUAUGCAAUAAAAGGGACAGAAGAAGAAACAAAGCAGUUAAUCGAUCUAUGGAUUAAAAAUGAGAGUCUCUUCAUUAAAAAAAAAGGAACGCUGCAAAACAGGGAUGGAGACAUGCCUCGUAAGGAGAGGAGGUGGAAGCAAAAACAAAAGGAGCUGCGUCAGGCUGCUAAAGGCAGUGGAUCCCUCACCAGCUGGGUGAAGAGCACAACAGAUAAGAAUAACACAUGUACCAGUUGUUUACGUUGCA